rnacentral:rRNA from 1 species
GACGAACGCUGGCGGCGUGCUUAACACAUGCAAGUCGAGCGAUGAAGUUCCUUCGGGAAUGGAUUAGCAGCGGACGGGUGAGUAACACGUGGGUAACCUGCCUCAUAGAGGGGAAUAGCCUUCCGAAAGGAAGAUUAAUACCGCAUAAGAUUGUAGUACCGCAUGGUGUAGCAAUUAAAGGAGUAAUCCGCUAUGAGAUGGACCCGCGUCGCAUUAGCUAGUUGGUGAGGUAACGGCUCACCAAGGCGACGAUGCGUAGCCGACCUGAGAGGGUGAUCGGCCACAUUGGGACUGAGACACGGCCCAGACUCCUACGGGAGGCAGCAGUGGGGAAUAUUGCACAAUGGGGGAAACCCUGAUGCAGCAACGCCGCGUGAGUGAUGACGGUCUUCGGAUUGUAAAGCUCUGUCUUCAGGGACGAUAAUGACGGUACCUGAGGAGGAAGCCACGGCUAACUACGUGCCAGCCGCCGCGGUAACAC